AAAACAUCGCCUCUUGCAAAAAUCAACGUAUAAGAGGUCCUACCUGCCCGGUGACUUAGUUUAACGGCCGCGGUAUCCUGACCGUGCAAAGGUAGCGCAAUCACUUGUCUUUUAAAUAGAGACCUGUAUGAAUGGUGGAACGAGGGCUUAACUGUCUCCCUUUUCUGAUCAGUGAAAUUGAUCUGCCCGUGCAGAAGCGGACAUAAACAUGCAAGACGAGAAGACCCUAUGGAGCUUCAGACAUAAAGUCAUCUACAUUAAAGUCCUCUAAUAAAAGAGAUAAAACAAAAUUGCAACUGACUGAUGUCUUCGGUUGGGGCGACCACGGAGGAAAAAAAACCCUCCAUGCGGAAUGGGAGAUUCUCCUAAAACCACGAGGCACACCUCUAAGUCACAGAACUUCUGACCCAAAGAUCCGGCAUUUAGCCGAUUAACGAAACAAGUUACCCUAGGGAUAACAGCGCAAUCCCCUUCGAGAGUCCUUAUCGACAAGGGGGUUUACGACCUCGAUGUUGGAUCAGGACAUCCUAAUGGUGUAGCCGCUAUUAAGGGUUCGUUUGGUCAACGAUUAA
rnacentral:rRNA from 1 species